AUGACGGUGAGAUUCUCAUUAAAAAAAUCGAAUAUUUAAGAAAGGUCGAAAAAGAAAUCGAAUAUUUUUAAAAGUAGACGAGAAAAUAACCAAAAACCGUAAUAAAUCAGAUUCUUUGUCUGGCCUUUGUAGUUUCCUCUUUAAUCUCCGUCUAUACUUAGCUCACUGAAAUCUUUGAAUCUUCUCUCGAUUGCGAGUUGUAAUUUUCGCCUGUCAAGCGGUGCGUAGGGGUUUUGAUACUAAUUUAACAGUUAUCUAAAUUUUGAAGUCUUUCAGUGAGCAAAAGUUGAUAGUUGAUGGAGGACUGGGAGGAUGAGACAAUUCCAGAUCUUCUCAAAAAGGAGCAACUAAAGAGUAACCGGGAUGAUGAAGAUGUGGAUGAUAAUGAUGUGAAAGAAUCUUGGGAAGAUGAAGAUGAACCUGCACCGGUAUAUUUGCUGAUAGUUUAACUUUUUCACUAAGCUGGCUUACAUUAAAAUUUCAUUUAGAGAAAAAUAUGCAAUUUUGUUCUAGAUUAUGAAUGCUGUGUAUUUCUUCACU